rnacentral:rRNA from 1 species
UACGAAGGGAGCUAGCGUUGUUCGGAAUCACUGGGCGUAAAGCGCACGUAGGCGGACGUGUCAGUCAGGGGUGAAAUCCCGGAGCUCAACUUCGGAACUGCCUUUGAUACAGCACGUCUUGAGUCCGGAAGAGGUGGGUGGAAUUCCUAGUGUAGAGGUGGAAUGCGCAGAUAUCAGGAGGAACACCAAUAGCGAAGGCAGCUCGCUGGGACGGUACUGACGCUAAGGCGCGAAAGCGUGGGGAGCGAACAGG